CCAGGUCCUAGCCUCGUCACCAUGGGUUCCGGUCAGACACGAGUCCUGGUGACUUUGUAUAGGCGUGUUCUCUGUGUACCGCAUCUUAUUGUGUUAAUGGCUUUCUUAUUUUUAUCUCUACAGAGGAACUUUUCUUCCAUGGCUCAGGACAUACAUCUGGAUCAAACUAAGAGAACUUUCUGUGUGGACCUAAGCCCCGAGACCCUCGAAAGGGCUACUGCUGAAGAUGACGAGUGUCCGUUGCAAGCUGGCCCAGUAUCUAGAGGACCUUGAAGAUAUAGACCUCAAGAAAUUCAAAAUGCAUUUGGAAGAUUACCCGCCCGAGAAAGGCUGUAUCCCAGUCCCCAGGGGCCAGAUGGAGAAGGCAGAUCACUUGGAUCUAGCCACACUCAUGAUUGACUUCAAUGGCGAGGAGAAGGCCUGGGCCAUGGCUGUGUGGAUCUUUGCCGCGAUCAACAGGCGAGACCUCUGGGAAAAAGCUAAGAAGGACCAGCCAGAGUGGAAUGACGCGUGUACAUCUCAUUCCUCUAUGGUAUGCCAGGAGGACAGCAUUGAAGAAGAGUGGAUGGGUUUGCUGGGAUAUCUCUCCCGCAUCUCCAUUUGUAAAAAAAAGAAAGAUUACUGUAAGAUGUACAGAAGACAUGUGAGAAGCAGGUUCUACUCUAUCAAGGACAGGAACGCGCGUCUGGGUGAGAGUGUGGACCUCAACAGUCGCUACACGCAGCUCCAACUGGUCAAGGAGCAUCCGAGCAAGCAGGAGCGGGAGCAUGAACUCCUGACCAUCGGCCGGACUAAAAUGCGGGACAGCCCCAUGAGUUCCCUUAAGCUGGAGCUGCUAUUUGAGCCCGAGGACGGGCACUCGGAGCCUGUGCGCACGGUGGUGUUCCAGGGAGCAGCAGGCAUCGGGAAAACCAUCCUAGCCAGGAAGAUUAUGUUGGACUGGGCACUGGGAAAGCUCUUCAAAGACAAAUUUGACUAUUUGUUCUUUAUCCACUGCCGAGAGGUGAGCCUCAGGACGCCAAGGAGUCUAGCGGACCUGAUUGUCAGCUGCUGGCCUGACCCAAACCCACCUGUGUGCAAGAUCCUGCGCAAGUCUUCCAGGAUCCUCUUCCUCAUGGAUGGCUUUGAUGAGCUACAAGGGGCCUUUGACGAGCACAUUGGGGAGGUCUGCACAGACUGGCAAAAGGCUGUGCGGGGAGACAUUCUGCUAAGCAGCCUCAUCCGAAAGAAACUGCUGCCCAAGGCCUCUCUGCUCAUAACGACGAGGCCGGUAGCCUUGGAGAAACUGCAGCAUCUCCUGGACCACCCCCGCCACGUGGAGAUCCUAGGCUUCUCUGAGGCCAAAAGGAAGGAGUAUUUCUUUAAGUAUUUCUCCAACGAGCUGCAGGCCCGGGAGGCCUUCCGGCUGAUCCAAGAGAAUGAGGUCCUCUUUACCAUGUGCUUCAUCCCCCUGGUCUGCUGGAUUGUGUGCACGGGGCUAAAGCAACAGAUGGAGACUGGGAAGAGCCUAGCCCAGACCUCCAAGACCACUACGGCCGUCUACGUCUUCUUCCUUUCCAGCCUGCUGCAAUCCCGGGGGGCCAUUGAGGAGCAUCUCUUCUCUGACUACCUGCAGGGGCUCUGUUCACUGGCUGCGGAUGGAAUUUGGAACCAGAAAAUCCUAUUUGAGGAGUGUGAUCUGUGGAAGCACGGCCUGCAGAAGACUGACGUCUCUGCUUUCCUGAGGAUGAACGUGUUCCAGAAGGAAGUGGACUGCGAGAGAUUCUACAGCUUCAGCCACAUGACUUUCCAGGAGUUCUUCGCUGCUAUGUACUAUUUGCUGGAAGAGGAGGCAGAGGGGGUGACCGUGAGGAAAGGGCCAGGAGGUUGUUCAGAUCUUCUGAACCGAGACGUGAAGGUCCUACUAGAAAAUUAUGGGAAGUUUGAAAAAGGCUAUCUGAUUUUUGUUGUCCGAUUCCUCUUUGGCCUUGUAAACCAGGAGAGAACCUCCUAUUUGGAGAAGAAACUAAGCUGCAAGAUCUCUCAGCAAGUCAGACUGGAGCUACUGAAGUGGAUUGAAGUGAAAGCCAAGGCCAAGAAGCUGCAGUGGCAGCCCAGCCAACUGGAACUGUUCUACUGCCUGUACGAGAUGCAGGAGGAAGACUUUGUGCAGAGCGCCAUGGACCACUUUCCCAAAAUUGAGAUCAACCUCUCUACCAGAAUGGACCAUGUGGUUUCCUCCUUUUGUAUUAAGAACUGUCAUAGGGUCAAAACGCUUUCCCUGGGGUUUUUUCACAACUCGCCCAAGGAGGAAGAAGAAGAGAGGAGAGGAGGUCGACCCUUGGACCAGGUUCAGUGUGUUUUCCCAGACACUCAUGUUGCCUGUUCUUCCAGACUGGUGAACUGCUGCCUCACUUCUAGCUUCUGCCGUGGUCUCUUCUCAAGUCUAAGCACCAACCGGAGCCUCACUGAAUUGGACCUCAGUGACAAUACUCUGGGAGACCCGGGCAUGAGGGUGCUGUGUGAGGCACUCCAGCACCCAGGCUGUAACAUUCAGAGACUGUGGUUGGGGCGCUGCGGACUGUCCCAUCAAUGCUGCUUCGACAUCUCCUCUGUCCUGAGCAGCAGCCAGAAGCUGGUGGAGCUGGACCUCAGUGACAAUGCCCUGGGGGACUUUGGAGUCAGAUUGCUGUGUGUGGGACUGAAGCAUCUGCUCUGCAACCUCCAGAAACUCUGACUGUACAUUGGAGAAAAUGCCUUGGGAGACUCAGGAGUCCAGGUUUUGUGUGAAAAGAUGAAGGACCCACAAUGUAACUUGCAGAAGCUGGGGUUGGUGAAUUCCGGCCUUACUUCAAUCUGUUGUUCAGCUCUGACCUCUGUGCUCAAAACCAACCAGAACUUCACACACCUCUACCUACGAAACAACGCCCUUGGAGACACGGGACUCAGGCUUCUCUGUGAGGGGCUUCUGCACCCGGACUGUAAACUACAGAUGCUGGAAUUAGACAACUGCAGCCUCACCUCACACAGCUGCUGGAAUCUCUCCACAAUUCUGACCCACAACCACAGCCUUCGGAAGCUGAACCUGGGUAACAACGAUUUGGGCGAUCUGUGCGUGGUGACCCUCUGUGAGGUGCUGAAACAACAGGGCUGCCUCCUGCAGAGCCUACAGUUGGGUGAAAUGUACUUAAAUCGUGAAACAAAACGUGCCUUAGAAGCACUCCAGGAAGAAAAGCCUGAGCUGACUAUUGUCUUCGAGAUUUCCUGGUAGGUGUGGAAGCAGGACUACCAGGUGCCUCUGUCCUGCCCCAAGUCCUGCCCCAAGCCCCAGUGCGCACUGUUCUUCACUGCUAUCAAGCCCUCCUUCACCAUCAGGAUCACAGCCGAGGCUCUUCUGGUAUAGGGUCUGGAGCAAAGGCUUGUGUGGGACCAAACUUGUUUCCUCACAUCGAUAACGUGAAACUGCCAGAGGCUGCCCUUCCCGCCAUAUCCUCAGUGGGCAAGGUGUUCCCUCUUGGUGACUUCAUGGAAACAGCUUCUAGAAAACACCUUUUCUGUCCUCCCUCCCCUUCCUCCUCCUCCCCCUCUCCCUCCUCUUCCCCCCCCUUCCUCCUCCUCCACUUCUCCCCCCACCUGUCUUUCUCUCUCUGGGUCUCCAGUUUUUUGACCUUUGCCCAUACCUUCGGUCUUGUCUUCCUGUUAACUGACCAUCCCGCAUAAGGAGCUACCUGCGGGCUAGAUGGAAGGUUUGUGGCAGCCUCUCAGCUACAUUAUUUGUUUUUAUUUUUUAAUAGUUAUGAUUUCUAUUUAGCUACCUGAAAACUCAGAGAUUUAUAAAACCUAUUUUUGUAUUUAUUGUAUGUUUGUACUGCUUUCUUAAUUUAAAAAUGUAUCUAGAAUUCUUUUAAGUUAUUUAUCCAAACUACUAAAAAUAAAUCAGUUUACACAUUUAAAA